UACGUAGGUGACAAGCGUUGUCCGGAUUUACUGGGCGUAAAGAGCGCGCAGGCGGUCGAUCAAGUCGAGUGUGAAAUCUCCCGGCUUAACUGGGAGGGUGCGCCGAAAACUGGAAGGCUUGAGUAUGGGAGAGGUAAGCGGAAUUCCUGGUGUAGCGGUGAAAUGCGUAGAUAUCAGGAGGAACACCUGCGGUGUAGACGGCUUACUGGACCAUAACUGACGCUGAGGCACGAAAGCGUGGGUAGCAAACAGG
rnacentral:rRNA from 1 species